AGGAAGUGUGGUGUGAAGUUGGAGAGGAGUUUGGUGCAUUUGGCGAGAGGCAGGGCAAGUUUCUGCCCUGCUAAUGAACUCAGGUUCGGCAGCCGAAGGUACAUUCGGCCGCCGAACCCCUGAGGAGGUGUGAGGAGGUGGCUUCGGCUGCCCAAGCUUGCCCCCGAGCUUUUGGACUUUCGGCUCUGGAGGGAAGUUUGGCCGCCGAAGGUGCCACCGAAGGUUAGAGACUUUCAUCUCUGGAGUGCCUUUUGGCCUCCGAAACUUGCCCCCGAAAGGGUUCGACAGUCGAAAGUAGAGAUUCGGCCGCCGAAGGUGCUUGAGUUUCGUCUCUGGAGAGGACUUUCGGCCGCCGAACCUGCCGCCGAAAGUGUUCUGUCCAGCUUUCCUUUGCAUGCUUUACAUGAAUGUUAGAGUGAGUUUAAGGGAAUUCUUGGGAAGUUUAAUAGAGUUGGUCAUAAGCUUGUUUGGUCCCUCAUUUGAGUCUAUCUGUAUAGGUACAGACCAGAGGAACCAGAGAGAGCAGCAGUGAGUACUGCUCCAGAGUUUUCAGAGCCUGCAGAGUCAGUCAGUCCAGGUAGCCAGAGGUGAGUGGAACGAAACUUAACUCUUUUACUUGCACAAUGAAAUGUUUUAGCAUAUCUCAUGCGUCAUGAUUAUGCAAUAGGUUGAUUGCAUUAGUAUCCACGAAUAUGUUGCAUUACAUAGUUAUUUGUGGAUGUGGGUGAAUGCUGAAUGAUCCAAUAGUCUCAGACAGGAAGUCCAGGAGCCUUUGACUACGCCCUGGCAGGUAUAGUAAAGACCAGGAGCCUUUGACUACGCCCUGGCAAUGGUAAGUACAGAGGUGUUAUAUACACAUAUACAUAUAUGACAGGAAGACCAGGUGCUCGAUGCUACGCCCUGGCACAGAGUUACUGGGACUAUGUGGUGACAGGUUUACUCUUGAUGUGGAUUGUCUGUGAUAUGGUGCAUUCCAUGAGAUCAUCUUUUACUGAGAUGUUUUACUGUUCUACUCACUGGGCUAUAGAGCUCAUCCCACUCCCUGAACCCCAGUGUUGCAGGUUCAGUGUAUAGUGUAAAGAGGAGAUCAGCAGAGUGCCAAAAGAGUAAAGAGUAAAGAGAUUUGUAAUGUAAUAGCUUAGAGUGGACAUGUAAUAUUAAAGAGAUGUAAGAGUAGUGUAUAAAGUUAGAAAGGUGCUUGACUUAGUAAUGAUGUACAUGAUCUGAAUAUGUAUAUAUGUUUUUACUGUAUGUGAAACACCAGGCUUAACAGGUAUGAGUUAACCCAUCUAGAGCAAGCUCUAGUCAGGGGUACAGAGUACAGAGUAUAGAGUACAGAGAUAGUGCAUGCACAGGUUAAGCCUUGGUUCAGAAAAGAGUUUUUAUUUUCACAGAAAAUGUAUGAUCAUGUAUGAGUUUACAGGUACACAGAGAGUAUAGCAGGCUUGCUACGGGUUCUGGCGGCCUUAAGCCGACCUGAAUCCUAGCGCCGGUGACGGUCCAUUUUGGGGUCGUUACAGAUUGGUAUCAGAGCCCUAGGUUCACAUGAUCGGACCUAUAGAGACAGUGUUGGGCUCAUAGAGGUUAGAAGUGGUCAAGCACAAUAGGAAAUCAUGUCCACUAGGAUAGGGUGAUGAGUCCUAUCUAUUAUUACUAUGAUAUGCCAUGAGUUUUGCAUGUGCAUUAUUGAUAUGUGAUGUUUAUGUGCUAAAGUGCUAUGUUAUGUAUUGUUUUUCAGAGAGUAAAGAUGAGAGGAACUCGUCGAUCAACUCGAUUGACUGGAGUCCCACCAGAGAGUGAGAGACCAGCUGCUCGUCCUCCUGCAUUGCCAAGGGCAAGGUCUCAGAGAUCUAGCAGGGAAGGUACGUCAAUAGACCCGAGAAGGUCUGUAGACGAGAGCAGAAGAGGUAUAGCUAGGGGAGGAAGAUCAGAGGAAAGGAGGGAGGCUAUGGAGAUUGAUCAGUCUAGGGAUGAUAGUAUGGGUGUAGGCAGAUUUGAGGAAGGUAUGGGAGAGUCGUAGGGAGGUGCUUAGGCCUCAGGUUUUGGCUAUCCAGCCUUUUCGCAGGAUCCAGAGUUUCCGAUGGGAGGUAUGUCGGAGUACUCUAGUUUUGUCCCAUAUCCCCUUUACAUGCCAUAUAUGCCUUAUCCUUACUAUCCACCAUAUCCGAUGUAUCCACCUUCCCCUACCCAUCCAAGUGCAGCACACCCAGAGUCAAAUGACCCAGUACCACCACCACCAGAACCAGUAGCCCCUGUUGUUGACAGACAUCAACCUAGCUCAUCUGGAGGUAAGGUACAAAUGACGGAGUACUUGAAAUUGGAUGCUCCUAAAUAUAACACGGGAGAUGAUCCAUUUGAAUACCUCAUAUCAGUUAGACUGAUAACCAGUGAGUUGGGAGCUGAUGAUAGUAGAGCCAUUGAGAUGGCAGGGUUUACACUUAUGUGGAACCCAGGAUGAACAGUAUGUCUUGGGGAGAGUUCGCCAAUGAGUUUGCAGGGUGGGCUUUUCCUGACAGUUCUAGGGAGAUGAAAGUAAUAGAGUUCGAACAGUUGAGACAGACAGAUGAGAUGAGUGUUGAGGAAUUCACAGAUAAGUUCCUGGAUUUGCUUCAGUAUGUGGGUCAAGCCUAUGAUACUGAUCAGAAGAAGGCAAGGAGAUAUACUAUGAGACUGCAUCCCAGGUAUUCUUCCUUGAUUCUUCCAGCAGAAAAGGAGAGUUUCCACACGAUAGUGGACGCAGCCAGGAAAAUGGAAGCUAGUGCCAAUAUUCAGAAACAGUCAAAGGCACAGGCUUCGGGUUCUAAAGCCCCCAGUUCAGGCACGUCAGGCAGCAAGAGAUGGGAUAGAGCAAAAGGAACAAAGAGUAAGUUCUGGAGUAAAGUCAAGUCAGGUCUGGGAAUAGGUAGUGGCUCAAGCUCUGGCACAAUUCCUGUAUACAGAAGAUGCGGAAAACCACAUGGAGGAGUUUGUCGGUUGGGAUCUACAGCUUGUUUUAGAUGUGGACAGGAAGGGCAUAUUGCUCGGGAUUGUCCUCAGGUGACUUUUGCACCAUCCCAGCAUAUGAGUUUAGGCAGUGUGGUACAGCCAGUAGCUCCAGUCAUGCCUCAGAGUAGUGGCAGAGGUAGAGGGAGAGGGGCAGCCUCUACUUCAGCAGCAGGUUCCCGAGGUGGAAAUCCGGUAGCCCCAGCACGGAUUUUCACUGUGACACAGGAGGAGGCUAACACAUCAAACAUAGUGGUGUCAGGUAAUCUCAUCAUUGGGUGUUCAGAUGUGUAUGCUUUGAUGGACCCCGGUGCUUCUCAUUCCUUUAUUGCUUCGAGAGCCAUAGAGAGAUUGGGUUUGAUCAGUUUUGAGUUAAAGUAUCCUCUCUGGGUCAGUGGACCUAAAUGUGACCCAUCAGUGGCAGUGUCCGUCUAUCGUUUCAGUCCAGUGUUCAUAGAGGGUAGAUGCCUUCCAGCUGACCUUGUGGUUCUAGAUUUGACAGAUUUUGAUGUCAUUCUAGGGAUGGAUUGGCUAUCUGCAUAUAGUGCUACCUUGGACUGUAGAGAGAAGAUAGUGAGUCUCAGAGACCAGGAUGGGUCAGAGUGUGUCUUCAGAGGAGACAGGAGAGGUACACCCAGAGGUUUGAUUUCAGCCCUUCAGGCUCGUCGUUUGCUUAGGAGGGGUUGUCAGGGGUUUCUAGCUCAUGUGAGAGAGCUAGACAGUCAGGUGAGGGAACCAGCUACAGUACCAGUAGUUCGAGAGUUUCUCGAUGUUUUCCCAGACGAACUUCCAGGACUACCACCUGGUAGGGAGAUAGAGUUUGAAAUCGAAUUGCUGCCUGAUACCAGACCUAUCUCUAUUCCUCCCUACAGGAUGGCGCCAGCAGAGUUAAAAGAGUUGAAAGCGCAGUUGCAGGAUUUGGUAGAUAAGGGUUUCAUCCGCCCUAGUACCUCACCUUGGGGUGCUCCAGUGCUUUUUAUCAGAAAGAAGGAUGGAUCCCUCAGACUUUGUAUCGACUACAGACAGUUGAACAAGGUCACUACCAAGAAUAGGUAUCCUCUACCUAGGAUUGAUGAUCUAUUUGACCAGCUAGCUGGAGCAGGUUGUUUCUCUAAAAUAGAUCUGAGAUCCGGAUAUCAUCAGUUGAGAGUUAAAGAGGCAGAUGUGCCAAAGACAGCUUUCAGGACCAUAUAUGGGCAUUAUGAGUUCUUAGUGAUGCCGUUCGGGUUGACUAAUGCCCCUGCAGCAUUUAUGGAUCUCAUGAACAGAGUUUUCAGUGAGUUUCUAGAUCACUUUGUCAUUGUUUUCAUCGAUGAUAUUUUAGUGUAUUCCAGAGAUGCAGAGGAGCAUGCCCAGCAUCUGAGAAUAGUGCUGCAAACACUGAGAGAGCAUGGGUUAUAUGCCAAGUUCUCGAAGUGUGAGUUUUGGUUGAGGAGCAUUGCCUUCUUGGGACAUGUGGUAUCAGUAGAGGGUAUUGAGGUAGAUCCCAAGAAGAUAGAGGCUGUAGCUAACUGGCCCAGACCCACUACAGUGACUGAGAUUAAAAGCUUUCUGGGACUGGCAGGUUACUACAGAAGGUUCGUUCAGAACUUCUCAAAGAUAGCGGCUCCUAUGACCAAAUUGACUCAGAAGAACCAGAAGUUUGUCUGGUCAGACCAGUGUGAAGAGAGCUUUGAGGAGCUCAAGAGGAGAUUGACAACAGCACCAGUGUUAGCUCUGCCUGUCAGUAAUGAGGAUUUCACAGUGUUCUGUGAUGCAUCUCGAGUGGGAUUGGGUUGUGUUUUGAUGCAGAGUGAUAGGGUGAUAGCUUAUGCUUCUAAACAGUUGAAGAAGCACGAGUUGAAUUACCCCACCCAUGACCUAGAGAUGGCAGCAGAUAUCUUUGCACUUAAGAUGUGGCGGCAUUACCUCUAUGGGGUUAAAUGCGAGAUCUUCACCGAUCACAAGAGUUUACAGUACAUCUUGAGUCAGAGAGAACUGAAUUUGAGGCAGCGAAGAUGGGUAGAAUUGCUCAGUGCUUAUGAUUGUACGAUCCAGUAUCAUCCGGGUAAGGCGAAUGUUGUGGCAGACACCCUAAGCCGGAUGUCACUAGGCAGUUUAUCCCAUAUAGCAGCAGAGCGGAGACCAGUCGUGAUGGACCUUUACAAGCUCUUAGACGAGGGGUUACAGUUAGAGUUAUCUGGUACAGGUGCGUUGAUAGCACAGAUGAGAGUGACACCUGUGUUUCUGGAGCAGAUAGCUCAGAGAUAGCAUGAGGACCCAGAGUUGAUGAAAAUUGCCAGGACUGUUCAGUCAGGCAAUGGUGCAGAGUUUAAAUUUGACAGCAAAGGGAUCCUCCGUUAUGGGAGUCGACUUUGUGUACGCGAUAGCAGUGUGAAGGAAGACAUUAUGAGGGAAGCUCAUAAUGCGAGGUAUAGUGUUCACCCAGGAGCCACCAAGAUGUACCAGGAUCUGAAAAGGAUUUAUUGGUGGCCAGCCAUGAAGAAAGAAGUGGCGCAGUUUGUGACAGCCUGUGAGGUUUGCCAGCGGGUGAAACUAGAGCAUCAAAAACCAGCCGGAAUGCUUAACCCAUUGCCAAUUCCAGAAUGGAAAUGGGAGAACAUAGCUAUGGAUUUUGUAGUGGGUUUACCAGCUACGUCCAACAGGAUAGACUCUAUUUGGGUGAUUGUGGACAGACUCACUAAAUCUGCUCAUUUUCUUCCAGUACGGAGUAACUAUUCUGUGGAUAAAUUGGCACAGGUCUAUCUGAAUGAGAUCGUGAGAUUACAUGGUGUUCCAGUGUCUAUAGUUUCAGACAGAGGACCUCAGUUUACCUCUAGAUUUUGGCGAAGUCUGCAGAGUGCGAUGGGCACGAGACUGGAUUUUAGUACUGCUUUCCACCCACAGACUGAUGGACAGUCAGAGAGGACCAUCCAGACCAUAGAGGAUAUGCUUCGACUAUGUGUGUUAGACUUUGGCGGUUCUUGGAGGCAGCAUCUACCUUUGGUAGAGUUUGCCUACAAUAACAGCCAUCAUGCUAGCAUAGGGAUGGCUCCUUAUGAAGCUUUGUAUGGGCAGAAAUGCAGAUCCCCUGUUUGCUGGGAAGAGGUAGGAGAGAAGGCUCUUGCAGGGCCAGAGUUAGUAGAGAUUACCAGUAGAGUAGUGCCCAUGAUUAGACAGAGAAUCAGAACAGCGCAGAGCAGACAGAAAAGUUACGCAGACGUUCGCAGAAAGCAGUUAGAGUUUCAGGAGGGUAAUUGGGUAUUGCUAAAAGUGUCUCCAAUGAAAGGAGUGGUUCGGUUUGGAAAUAAGGGUAAGUUAGCCCCACGAUACAUUGGACCCUUUGAGAUUUUGCAGAGGAUCGGACAUGUGUCGUAUCAGCUGGAUUUACCUGCUUCUAUGGAGAGAAUUCACCCGGUAUUUCAUGUUUUUAUGCUACGGCAGUUUGUGUCAGAUUCGAAUUAGGUUCUGAGUGAACCUGAGGUGGAGAUUCUUACAGAUCUCACCUAUAUAGAGCAGCCAGUGCGGAUUCUGGACACACAGAUCAGACAGCUAAGGAACAAAGAGAUUCCGAUGGUGAAAGUCCUGUGGAACCACCAUAAUCUAGAAGAGUGCACCUGGGAGACGCGGGAGUCUAUGGUCCAGCAGUAUCCAUAUUUGUUUUGAGGUUAGUUUCCUCCUUUUUAUGUGUUACUUGUUUGUUUUCGGAACAUUCGGGGACGAAUGUUCUUAAGGGGGGAGAAUGUAAUACCCGGCUAGAGUCCAGCAUCGGAAUUCUUCGUUCCGAUGGAGUUUCGGAUGUCAGACGUUUCUAGAAGGGUGAGAUUUAUGUUUUUCUCAAAUGUUUUGGUAUGUUUCAUAGUGUUAAAGUAUAAAGAACUGAGUUUUUGAGUGAAAUGAACCAAGGCAGAAAAGCCAGGUUCGGCCGCCGAAGUUGAGGUUCGGCCGCCGAACAUGCAUGGCUUUCGGUUUCACGUGUGGCCGCCGAAGAUGGUCUGGCCAGCCACCUAUAAAUGGCCCUCAGUCGGUUGAAUCGGUAAGAGCACUGUUUAUUUCACUUGCUGAGGUGAAACUCUGUCCUUUGUGAGUAGUUCUUCAUGUUUUCAUGAAAUCAUGCAAAGAUUUGAUUCGUUUUUGUGAUCUUUUGAAGGUUUUAAGCUAAAAACUCAAAGUUGUGAAGUUUGGAGAGUUUGAAGAAGAGUUGCUCCAAAACUCCACGUUAGGAUCGUUCAUCUUCUUGGUUUCAAGAGGUAAGUGAAGAUCCUGAGCUUGUUUUUAUGUUUUCUGAAGGUUUUAUGGGGUUUAUGGAGAGAGUUGCAUGAAUAGGUUAAAAAGAGAGGUUUUGAUGAUUUUGUGCAUAGAGCUUGUUUCUGUGUUGUUUGUGUUGUAUGUUUGGGGUUUUUAGGUAGUUUUUGAACCCUUUGAGCAUAUACAUGAGUGUAUGCACGUUGAGGAAGUGCGGUGUGAAGUUGGAGAGGAGUUUGGUGCAUUUGGCGAGAGGCAGGGCAAGUUUCUGCCCUGCUGAUGAACUCAGGUUCGGCAGCCGAAGGUACAUUCGGCCGCCGAACCCCUGAGGAGGUGUGAGGAGGUGGCUUCGGCUGCCCAAGCUUGCCCCCGAGCUUUUGGACUUUCGGCUCUGGAGGGAAGUUCGGCCGCCGAAGGUGCCACCGAAGGUUAGAGACUUUCAUCUCUGGAGUGCCUUUUGGCCUCCGAAACUUG
rnacentral:lncRNA from 1 species